UGGGGAAUAUUGGACAAUGGGCGAAAGCCUGAUCCAGCCAUGCCGCGUGUGUGAAGAAGGUCUUCGGAUUGUAAAGCACUUUAAGUUGGGAGGAAGGGCAUUAACCUAAUACGUUAGUGUUUUGACGUUACCGACAGAAUAAGCACCGGCUAACUCUGUGCCAGCAGCCGCGGUAAUACAGAGGGUGCAAGCGUUAAUCGGAAUUACUGGGCGUAAAGCGCGCGGAGGUGGUUUGUUAAGUUGGAUGUGAAAUCCCCGGGCUCAACCUGGGAACUGCAUUCAAAACUGACUGACUAGAGUAUGGUAGAGGGUGGUGGAAUUUCCUGUGUAGCGGUGAAAUGCGUAGAUAUAGGAAGGAACACCAGUGGCGAAGGCGACCACCUGGACGAAUACUGACACUGAGGUGCGAAAGCGUGGGGAGCAAACA
rnacentral:rRNA from 1 species